GUGGGGAAUAUUGGGCAAUGGGCGAAAGCCUGACCCAGCCACGCCGCGUGAGUGAUGAAGGCCUUCGGGUUGUAAAGCUCUGUGGGGAGGGAAGAAAAAGCGGGAGAGUAACUGCUCUCGUGUUGACGGUACCUCCUUAGCAAGCACCGGCUAACUCUGUGCCAGCAGCCGCGGUAAUACAGAGGGUGCAAACGUUGCUCGGAAUUACUGGGCGUAAAGCGCGUGUAGGCUGACAUGCAAGUCGGGUGUGAAAUCCCAGGGCUCAACCUUGGAACUGCACUCGAAACUGCACGUCUUGAGUACUGGAGAGGGAAGCGGAAUUCCGGGUGUAGAGGUGAAAUUCGUAGAUAUCCGGAGGAACACCAGUGGCGAAGGCGGCUUCCUGGACAGUAACUGACGCUGAGACGCGAAAGCGUGGGGAGCAAACAGGAUUAGAAACCCUUGUAGUCC
rnacentral:rRNA from 1 species